GGGAUGACUGGUGACAGAGGGAGGGGAUGACUGGUGACAGAGGGAGGGAGUGACUAUUGACAGAGGGAGGGAGUGACUAGUGACAGAGGGAGGGGGUGACUGUCACUAGUCACCCCAUCCCUCUCUCUGUCACUAGUUACUCCCUCCCUCACUCUGUCACUAGUCACCCGCUCACUCACUGUCACUAAUCACCCCCUCUGUCCCUAGUCACCUCAUCCCUCUCUCUGUCACUAGUCACUCCC